GGCUGUGAUUACAGACCGUGAACCCUGAAUACUGGGGUGCCACGCACGGACAGAUGGGAGCCACACUCUGUGGUCAAGCUGUGAUCUUUCCACCAUGGGAAACCACGUGACAACCCUACUUGAAACGUGUCACCCUGGGGACAGAGGAAAAGCGAAUGGUAAACAUCUUUAUUUUCUGAGAUGGGCCCAAGGACCUGGCCCCACAGUUAGGAAUCUGCAGUCACCCAUCCCACUGCAAAAGACGCUUCCUCGCCCAGAACAGCCAGCUCCGCAGCCGUCAUGCGGUUUCCGGCGGCCGCACAGAAUUGGGACCUGGGCAUGGCCCCUGGUGACGGCACGGACCACGGAGGGCUUUCAGGAGGCUUCGUGCAGAAAACGAACCGUCCUUCACCUCGGAUGUCUUCUUGUUGCUCAGAGUCAGGCCGACCG